AUGCAAAUGUACAUGCUGGAGGGUAUAUCAAGGUGGAACAUGGGCCGGGCCAAGGAGGCAGUAGAUGUGGAGGGGGCCUCCACCCUAAGAAGCUUUGAUGUUCGGUUGAUGUCCCACCUUAACAACCUAAGCCAGCGUGUGCAUGGUUGUGCUCUGGUGCCAGAGUUCACCCUUCCUGGGAAACCUACUGGCGAACGCAUAGCCGUGGAAUAUUUAUUGGAGCAGACCAAUAGAGGCGACCUGCUGGCUCCAUCACAGGCCUCCAUCUCAGAAAUCCCCUUGCCGGUGCUGGAGGAGGAGGAGGAGGAGGAGGAGGAGGAUGAUGCCAUCAGCAUGCCUGCCAUCAGCGUGCCUGCCAUCAGCGUGCCUGCCAUCAGCGUGCCUGCCAUCAGCGUGCCUGCCAUCAGCAUGCCUGCCUCUGUCACAGAGACCAGCCAAUGUGAUUCGAGGGGCGUUCCGGGGUGGGACGCAGUAGAUGCCCUUGCUGCCUACCUACUCGGAUUAAACCGCACCAUCACGGCCUUGUCAGCCAAGGAGGAGGCGGACAUAGUUCGCCUGUACGCGGCUUUACAUGCGAUGGAUCGGAAACCUUCAAGGUACACCCAGAAGGCAAAGAAGAAGUCGCAUGCGUCAGGAGGACCAUGGAGAGCGCCGAGGAAGCCGAGUGGCUCUGCUCCUGGACAGCAGGCGGCAGAGAGGCUGUACAUGACUCAUGGCCAAGCAGCCCAGGACCCCGAAGUUCACAGGGUCUGUGAGUGUGUCUGCCUCAGACUCUUAAAAGAGUUUGAGCAGUCACGCAACAGGCCAAAGGACACAAAGGGGAAAACAAUGCCCAUCCCUCAGUCCAUCGUAAGCGUGUACAGCCACAUCAAACAGCUGCUUGAGGACAGCAGGGUUGUCUGUGAUGACACAGACCUGGUUCUGGUGCCAGUAAACAACACCACAGUCUCUUCAUGGCUGCUUAGGAGGGAUAAAAGGAAGGACAGGGACAUGCUGCUGCAAGGCACUGUACUGCCCAAACAGGUGCACCUGGCAGAGGAGCCUCUCCCUGCUCUGAACACCCUUCCGGCUGCCCCUGUGCAACAUGCACAUGGGGCAAUGACAUUUGAGGAGCCGGAAAAUCACGAGGGGGAAGCUUUCCCCCGCCAGCGCACUCUAGCGGCGAACAAGCCUCCGCCAUCUCCACCUCCCCAGUUCCCUCCACAAUUUGGGCCACUUCCUCCAUUUCCUCAUCUUCCCCCAUAUCCGCACUUUCCAUUUCCAUAUCCUCAUGCACCUCCACUUCCUCAUGCUCCUCCAUUUCACAUUUCUACUCCAUAUCCUCAUGCUCCUCCAUAUGCUCCUCCAUAUCCUCAUGCUCCUCCAUAUGCUCCUCCAUAUCCUCAUGCUCCUCCAUUUCAUGCUCCUCCACUUCCUCAAGCUCCUCCGUUUCCUAAUUCCCUAUCUCCUGAUGCUCCUCCAUCCCAGCCAAGGGCACGCGCCUGGAGGCUCAAUAAAGCUGCCCAGGAGGAUGAGGAGCUUACGUCAAGGGGGGAUCCGGCACGGAAGAGGCUGAGAAAAGAGAACUACCACUAUACCUGCAAGGGGUGCGGCCAGGCCAAAAAUAAAGUCACUGGACACACCCAGCUGAAGGGGCGGUGGUAUUGUCCUGCCUCAGGAAUGACCCUGGAAGAGUGGAGGAAUAGUGUGUAGUUGCUGUCUUUCUGUCUGUUUGUCUCUUUGUUGUUCCUCUCUGUCUCUCUGUCUGUCUCUCUGUUGUUCGUCUCUGUCGUUAAAAUAAAGUUUAAUAAUUGUAUUUGAGCCAAGAACAGCCUUCACGUCUUUAUUUAAUUUCCUCUUGAAUACCAGGACAGUGAGUGUCAUCCAUAAUUGAAUGUGAUUGUUAAAACUAAAGCCAGUCAGAAUCAGAAUAAGCUUUAUUGCCAGGAAGGUUUGCAUCAACCAGGAAUUAUUUGUGGGUAAGUUGGUGCGGAACAUGUAAUUGCACAACAAACAGUCAACAUAAGAUAAAUAAGACAUAUAGUAUAACCAUAUAUAAAAAGAAAGAAUGUGCAGAAAGUGUAUGUGCAAUGUGUAAAGAUAAUUGUGUGUUACUGUAACACAAGGGCUUUUAUGUUAAUUAAGUGUGUAGUGGAGUUAGAGUCCGUGUGUGUAUCUGGGAGGGGGGGGGGGACACGUGACUCGAGAACAAGCGAAGAUGCAAGCGAUAUCGCCAGAGCCCAGGUUCGAAUCCUGCAAAAGACAUGAAAAUUAAAGUGAUGAUACUGUGUGUAAACAAUGUUGAAAAGAUAAGAGAGGUGAUAAAAAAUGAUAUAGUGCACGUUUUCCUCCUUUUUUCUCCUUUUCUUUUUCUCUCUUUCCCCCCUCUUUCCUCUCUCUUUUUUUCUUUUCCCCCGGCCGGGCAGUCCCUUUUGCCCCUUUUUUGGCCGAGUGGUUAAGGUGAUGGACUGCUAAUCCAUUGUGCUCUGCACGCGUGGGUUCGAAUCCCAUCCUCAUCGAUUGCACCAUUCUUACAUAAGUACAUCGUCUUCCAUUUCAUGGAAAAAAGUACAAUGAAUCAGGGACGUUUU
ensembl:lncRNA